rnacentral:tRNA from 6 species
GGUGCCAUAGCUCAGUUGGUAGAGCAAAGGACUGAAAAUCCUUGUGUCCCCGGUUCGAUUCCUGGUGGCACCACC